UACGUAGGGUGCGAGCGUUAAUCGGAAUUACUGGGCGUAAAGCGGGCGCAGACGGUUACUUAAGCAGGAUGUGAAAUCCCCGGGCUCAACCUGGGAACUGCGUUCUGAACUGGGUGACUAGAGUGUGUCAGAGGGAGGUAGAAUUCCACGUGUAGCAGUGAAAUGCGUAGAGAUGUGGAGGAAUACCGAUGGCGAAGGCAGCCUCCUGGGAUAACACUGACGUUCAUGCCCGAAAGCGUGGGUAGCAACCAGU
rnacentral:rRNA from 1 species